GGUUCUAUGGUGUAGGGGUAGCACUGCAGACUCUGAAUCUGCCGACCUGGGUUCGAAUCCCAGUAGGACCU